AAGACAGUAUGAGGUCUACUCACUAAACCAUUCAGUGACCAGAUCCAGGAAUAAUCAUUUGUCAGAGGAGAGGCUCACUGAAUGAUAACAGAAUAAACUCAGGCUAACUCACACACCUUAAAUAGAAUAUAGGUUUGCUAAAGGAAACUAUCCAUGAAUAUCAAGUUAAGACUCCCACUGGAUUCCAGGAACAAAAAGGCUUUCGCUUUUACUCACUUUCACAAGAGCUCUAUGCCAUUUACUUCUGGCCAAGGAAGUCAUGAGUAAAGUCAAAUGCUCAGCUUCCAUGACAAAAUAUUGGGGAUUUCUCAGGAAUAGUUUCCUUCUCUUGAGCAGCUUCAAAUAUAUUUUAAAACUAGGCACGUGCCCAGAGAUACACAUCCAUACACGCAAAUAUAUAUAGACAUAUGCUAACAAAGAUAUACGACAAGAGGUUACCAAAGAUACAUGGGUCAUGCAUGUAUUCUUCUAAGUUUUUUUUCUUAUUGUCAUUUUCAUGUUUUGGAAAGGAUAAUUAGACAUGCCUGGAAAUUAGGGUAUUUGCACAAUUUGGGAAAACUCAGUCAUGGAAAAGAGGGUUGUGAUGUAACAUCAGGUACUCUCUACCUCCUUCUUACUCUUUCACUCAUAUUCCAUAGGCUGAAUGGUAGCAGAAUCAGAAGAUUCCUCCUCUUCAGCUUGGGAACCUGUGAGUGGCCAGUACCAGAGAACUGCUACUGACCCAUGCAAACUUUUAGAGCUGAAAAUAACUAUUAGAGUCAAGAUGUCACAUGAUGUGGUUACAGAACUUGCCUUCUAGUCACAGUGAUAAACAAACAAACAAAAAUGAGUCAAGUUAGGAGAGUAGUAGAAAAAUUCUAUGCAGAACUGAAUAAGUUGUGUGUAUAUAUAUAAAAUACAUAAAAAUAUAUAAUAAAACAUAAUAUUUCAUUUUUUAAAACAAAAAUAAUUAUAUCUCACUGAAUCUCUGUGAUUUCUUUUUUACCUAGCUUCUCUCAGUGGACUAAAGUAAGAUCUAUAACUUUUCCCUCUACUUAUUGAAGACUUUAAUUAUAUAUGCAUAUAAACAAGUAUGUAAAAAAUAUAUCCAUCAUUUAUUAAACAAAUAUUUCUUGAGCACUAGUAUGCAGCAGGCACUGUUCUAGGCACCAGGAAAAUACUAAUGAACAAAAAGACAAAAAUACCUGCUGGGAGUUACAUUCUAGUGUGAGGAGACAGGCAGUAAAAACUGGCAAUAAUAUAUAGAAUUUAUAUGGUUAUAACUGCUGUGAAUAAAAAUAAAUCAGAAAAGGAGGAUAAAGGGUUUUGAGAGGUUGCAAUUUAAAUAUCAUGGUCAGUGAAAGCAUCAUUGAGAAGCUAAGAUUUUAGUAAAAUCUGAAAGAAGUAAGAGAGCAAGUUAUUCAGGUAUUCAAGGAAUAUUCCUCCAGGUGGAGGUCACAAUUUGGGGGCGGGGAAAAAUGGUGCCCAGCACAGUAAAGGAAGAUUUGUGAGUGAAGUAAAACACACAAAAAGAAAAUACGGUUAGAGGAAUUACAGGUCAGAUUACUUAUAGCCUGUAGGACUUUGGCUUUGCUCUAAGUUAAAUAGAAAGUCAAUAGAGGAUUUUGAGCAAAGGAACGAAUAAUCAACACUUUUUUUUAAAGAAUCACUCUGGUAGCUGUGUUUAGGAUAGACUAAAAGUGUGAGAUGGAAUGGAAAACUUAAAAAGGAUGAUUAGCUAAGAGGUCAUUGCUAUAAUCCAAACAAAGGAUAAUCAGUCUUACUUAGAGAAGGUUAGUACCAGAGGAAAUGGCAAGAAAUAUAUUUCAAUGAUUAAAAUUAACAGGAUGUACCACAGACUAGAUGUGAGAGGCAUAAAGAUUGACUGUAAAGAUUGUAGCCUGAGCACCCGGAAAGAAAGGAAUUCCUAUAAAUACACAGAGAGUAGAAAGAAUUUACCAAAGGCCAGUUAAGAGUGAUGGAAAAUACAGACAUCCUAAUUUUGAGAGGCCAAUUAAACAUUCAGGUAAAGAGGGGCAACUAUAUCCUGAAUUAAAGGUAGGGAUUCAGAUAAAUAUUUAAAUUUAGGGAAUUUUCAGCAUACAAAUGGUACCAAAACCAUAAGAAUGAAAGAUCACUCAUUCAUUAAGAAUGAGAAAAGAGGAGGGAUUUGAGGUCUGAGCCUUGGGCAUUCCAAAGUUAAGAAGUGAGGUUACGAAGAAGAACCAGGAAUGGAAAAUGAAAAGGAAAAGCCAGUGAAGUCAAAGGUAAACCAGGUUUGUCCUGGAAGACACGUGAAAGAACUUGCCAAGGAGGAAGUAAUAGUCAAUUUUGUCUGAUUCCACUCAUAGGUCAGACAAACUUCUGUACAAGGGCUGAAGACAGGACAAGAUGUGCUGAUGUAUAAAAAGUCUAAAUCUGCAGCAUAAUCGUGAAGAGAUGAGGAAAGCCACGUACUCAGAGCCUCACUUAAAGGAAAUGAAACAGUAAAACUGAAUCAGAUUUGGCUCUUCACUUCUGCCUUCAGUGCUGUCCAGACUCAGACAUUAUAUCAGUAGGUUUCAGUUUUACUAACCAAUAAGUUCUUUGUGUACUUAAAGUUGGUUGUUUUUUAAUGGGGAUGUGGAAUGGAGGGGUAAAUAUUUUGUGUUUUUUAAUGAGGAAUCCCAAACACUAGAGUUUUUUCUUUAUAUUGCAAAGGCACUGAUGCCCCUUCUCACAAAAUAUUUCAUGCUUCAGUAUUGGCCUAAAGUUGACUAUCUUUAUAUAAAUUAAAAUCUUCUCAUGUUUUAGUGGUGUUUUAGAAGAUCUUGACAUGUUACUUUUUGAAUUAAAGUGAAACGCAUAGCAUAUGGACUCAACAAAACCAUUCUCUGUGAAUAAAAUGUGUCACAUUCUAUAAUAAAACUAUAUAUAGCAUGUUAUUCCAUAUUCUGUAUGAUUAAUUUUAGAGAUUAUAUCUUGAAUUCUGCUAUCAAUCUACAAUGUUUAUUCAUUCAUUCAACAAAUAUUUGUUAAGAACUACUAUGUGUCAAGUACCUAGUUUGCAACAGUGAAUAAACAGAUAUUCUUGAGUUUGUGAAGUUUAUUAUAUUCAAGAGACAGAAAUAUAGAUAGUACACAAUUAACAUAACACCUAAGAAAAGAAUUUAAUAUGUAAUAAGAUCAUAAGUACAAUGAGAAAAAAUGCAUCACAGUAAGGAGACUGGGGAGAGUUUGCAAUGUGAAUCAUGUGGUCAGAGUGAGUCUCAUUGAAAAGUUAACAUUAGAACAAAGACUGGGAGAAGACGCAGUUGUGAGUCAUCUGUGUUCUGCAGCGGGAACGGCAAGUACAAAGGCUCUGAGGAAGGAGGGCGCCUG
rnacentral:lncRNA from 1 species